CUGAAACGCUUUCUCACCUGCCAAACAAUCAGAAUACAAUUCCAACCCCUUCCCCAUACAUCAAUGGGUCACCAUCGACAAUUUCUCAAAGGCAACAACAACAAACACCCUCCUUUUCUCCUUCACUGCCUCUUCCCCACCACCCCAAAAUCGAAAACCCUAAUCCACCAUAGCCUACUGCUAGCUUGUCCGAGAUUCGGCCAUUUCUUGCCUAAUCAACCUGUGACUCUAACAACUCAGAAAAAAGCAGUCCCUAAUUUGUAUAACAACGAAAAAAGAAUUCAAAUACACCAUCAAUGGCCUGAAAAUAUUGAAGAUUCGAAAGAGGAUUAAUUUUAGGGGAUUCACUUCAAAUUUCAAAUUAUUUUUCUCACAUUUUGUGAAUUUUUAGUUUCAAAUCCAGACUUUAAGUCUGAAUUUACACCUAUAAAUAUGGGUGUUGUCAUACCCAUCGGGAAAAGGCAUCAGAAGUCAAAAGGGAAGAAAAGGAGGGUUAAAAAAGAGAAAAUGAGUGAAGAAAAGGGCCGAAAAAAGAAGUUGAAGUUCAAAAGUCAGUGAUGGUGUAAAAAUAAAAGGAGUAGAAACAUAGGGAAAAUCGCCUAACACUUGCCCAGUUAAACAACCUGAAGUAUUUUCGUAAAAAUCCACAAAAGUGUCAUAAAAUCAUAGGCCGUUUCUUGAUUUUGGCCUAUGUUCGGGUUCACCAAGUUUGAGGUGGUCGCUGGAAAAUCCUUAUGGUCGAAGUCUAAGUUUUGCUGCACCAAAAAGGUGCGAAUUUUCCCUUUUAAUGUUGUUUCUUCAUCUCUUUUAUUUUCUUCUCGGUUGUUCUAUGAACGUGUGAUGGCGAUCCAUUCUCAAAUUUGUUGUGGAAGUUUUUUUUUGUUACCUUAGAGGCUAAAGAUGGUUUUGAUUCUAAAAAUGGGUUUAUAGGUAAAUUGCGGUGAAAGUCUAAAGUUGCUAAUGAAUUUUGGAAAUUGGGUCCGUAUGUGAGCGUUGACCAACAUUAUUUUAUUGUUGUUACUUCUGGGAAACUGAUUUCGUGAAUAUGUAAUCUUUAACUUUAAUUAUGUUAUGAUGGUGGUGUUGUCCGAUUAUUUGUGAAUUGGUUUCAUCCAAAAAUGGAUUUCAUACCGUGGAAAGUUAAUUGGUGUGAAAAUCAUCCUAUCUUCUUAUUUUCGUAUUCGGCUAACUAUGUAUGUGUGUUGAUAUUGCUAUUUAUUCCACCUGUAAAUCAAAUUCAUGAGCUCAAUUUUUUUCAGUCAGAAUCUGUACUUUUUAAAAUAUGUGAUUUUAUCAGUUUAGGUUGUUUUCUGUAGGCUUGCGGAUAAAAACAUAGUUUUUAUUUUGUGAAGCUAUUUUGUGGGUGAAAAUGCGAACAUAUGGGUCCGUGGGCAUGUGAACUUGCACGUUUAUUUUGUUUUGGGAUUGUUGGUUGUUUCUUGUUGCAAAUCGAGUUCAUAAGUAGUUAAUUUUGAUUCUGGGAACCACUGGUCGUAUUUUCUAAGUUUCUAUGUGAGCCUGAUCUUUAUUCUCGACCUGUCUUGACUUUAUUGCCGCCUUUAUUGCGUAAAUAUGCGAUAGAAAUUUUGUUUAAGUCCAUUUGUUGCUAUUUUUCAUUACAUGAACAUUUGAGUUCAUGGUAAAUAUGCGAUAGAAAUUUUGUUUAAGUCCAUUUGUUGCUGUUUUUCAUUACAUGCACAUUUGAGUUCAUGGUAUGGUUUCAUUUUUUUCUGUCGUUCCAAUACGUGCGAAUUUCGCCCUCCUUUUGUUCAUUUUCAUCAUCUUUCCUGCAUGUUUUGUGGAUUCUGUUGAUUCAAUCAAGCCUAUGUUGUUGUUGCGAUAGAUAAAUAUAAGUUUUAGAUUUUAAAAAUAGGAAUCACAAAUACUGCAUACUAUUUCUACUACUAUAUUUUUUCAUUAUAUUUUGAGUUCUCUUGUAAUCUGAAUUGAGUUUGAGUUUCAAGUCUGAAAAAUAUGACCCCGAAGCUUCAGUUUUUCUGGUCAACAGCAGAUAAAACUCCCUCUGUUUCUUUUAUAACUAUUUCGUAUAAUCUUAAUAUAUGAAUGUAUUCAUGUGUUUGACUGUUCGACGAAAUUGGUUUAGUAGUAUUUUACUAUCCAAAGUUCGCUAAUGUUCUAAUACAGUUUCGUAUUUGAGGCUGCAUUUCCAGUUUAGCUGUAAGAGUUGAUUUGAAUAAAAAAAAUGGGCUAAUAAUAAUAGUGGUUUCCUAGAGUAAAAGGAAUACUAAUACAUAUGUGAUUCACAUAGAAAAUGUAGCUUUUUUUUUUUUAGGUCUUCUUUUUCCUCUCUUUUGACUUUUCUACGGUAUUUUGUGUACACAAGGGUACACGACUUUUCUUUGUUAAAUUAGUUGAGUUGGGUUGUGAUUAUUCAAUCAUAUAAUUUAUCUGUAGCUUAUAGAAUAUUACACACUUUGUUUGAGAGAUUGCUAAAUAUGUAAAAGUGGGUUUUUCCAUUCAAGCAUGGGGAUUUCUCUGUCCUUAUUCUCAAGCUAAAGGUUUUGGCAUACUUAUAUGUUGAAAUAUUUAAUUAUUUUCAUUUAGUUAAGUCCCGGAGUUUAUGAUCUUAGUUCAGCUGACCAUAUGAAUAAUUUUUAGUCAUUAACCAACUUAAUGGUCUAUACUUGUGCGUUGAAAUCUGUUGAGUCAUCUUAUGACUUAUGUCUCGUCAAAACUCAUUUGAUCAUUUUCUAGUUAAAGUGCUCUAACAAAUUCUGGAAAAUUGAAUCCCCAAGGUCCAUAUUCACCCACUAUUCGUACGAGAUUUUCUACAUGGUUAGACCAUGAAAUAUUUGAUAAGAAGGGACCGUAAUUUUGCAGUCUCUUAAGUGUCCUAGCUGGAUGUAUUGCUUUAUGAUGUCCGACUGGUACUUUAUAUGUUUAAGAAGUUUGUUUCUAAUGAUUUCUUACUCAUUUAAAACUUGGAUGAUGGUGUGCAAAACUAUUAUUGGAUUGGUUAAGGUCUUGUUUAAGUUCGGAAGAUAGUUUAAAUUAUUUAUCUCAUAUGUUCAUUUUGUUGAGAUUAAGAUUAUGCUAAUUUUUUUUAUAUCAUUUUUUUUCACAUGUAAACUCGGACCGCAUUUGAGUUCAAAAGAACUCCAUCCCUAUCCAGAUUGGAGCUUGUGUCCGCUAUUACCUCUCCUUGGCCGAGUCUUGCUUUCCUCCGAGCUACUCAACACAAAUGAAUUCUAUUAGAGAAUCUAACGCCUUUCCAGUUUAGUUGUUCUUUCUUGCUUAAUUAUAUUGAUGUUAUUGUUUACUAGCACUUCUUGUGAAUUAUACUGGUCACUUGUUUGGUUUUAUAUUUUAACCCUUAUGAAUAUCCUAGACACGUACUGAUGGACAUGGUUAUUUAUUUACUUCAUCCCAUUAGAAGUUGAUUUUGUACUUAUUAGUUUAAGCUCAGCUAAAAAGUUUUGAUGAAAUUAGCCUUUGAUAACUUUUUAUAAUAUGUAUAUACAUUUUUUGGACUAAGCUAAAUUGAAAAAUCAUUUGCAAG
rnacentral:lncRNA from 1 species